rnacentral:rRNA from 1 species
AACGUAGGGGGCAAGCGUUGUCCGGAUUUAUUGGGCGUAAAGAGCGUGUAGGCGGCCAGGUAGGUCUGCUGUGAAAACUCGAGGCUUAACCUCGAGAUGUCGGCGGAAACCAUCUGGCUAGAGUCCAGAAGAGGAGAGCGGAAUUCCUGGUGUAGCGGUGAAAUGCGCAGAUAUCAGGAGGAACACCAAUUGCGAAGGCAGCUCGCUGGGACGUUACUGACGCUGAGACGCGAAAGCGUGGGGAGCAAACAGG